rnacentral:rRNA from 1 species
AGAACCAACAGGGAUUGCCCCAGUAACGGCGAGUGAAGCGGCAACAGCUCAAAUUUGAAAUCUGGCCCCUCUCGGGGUCCGAGUUGUAAUUUGUAGAGGAUGCUUUUGGNGAGGCGCCGCCCGAGUUCCCUGGAACGGGACGCCACAGAGGGUGAGAGCCCCGUCUGGCUGGCCGCCGAGCCUCUGUAAAGCUCCUUCGACGAGUCGAGUAGUUUGGGAAUGCUGCUCAAAAUGGGAGGUAUAUGUCUUCUAAAGCUAAAUACUGGCCAGAGACCGAUAGCGCACAAGUAGAGUGAUCGAAAGAUGAAAAGCACCUUGAAAAGAGGGUUAAAUAGUACGUGAAAUUGUUGAAAGGGAAGCGCUUGUGACCAGACUUGGGCGCGGCGGAUCAUCCGGGGUUCUCCCCGGUGCACUUCGCCGCGUCCAGGCCAGCAUCAGUUCGUCGCGGGGGAUAAAGGCUUCGGGAAUCGUGGUCUCCCCCGGGAGUGUUAUAGCCCGUCGCACAAUACCCUGCGGUGGACUGAGGACCGCGCAUCUGCAAGAUGCUGGCGUAAUGGUCACCAGCGACCCGUCUUGAAACNCGGACCAAGGAGUCGUCUUCGUAUGCGAGUGUUCGGGUGUCAAACCCCUACGCGUAAUGAAAGUGAACGCAGGUGAGAGCUUCGGCGCAUCAUCGACCGAUCCUGAUGUUCUCGGAUGGAUUUGAGUAAGAGCAUACGGGGCCGGACCCGAAAGAAGGUGAACUAUGCCUGUAUAGGGUGAAGCCAGAGGAAACUCUGGUGGAGGCUCGCAGCGGUUCUGACGUGCAAAUCGAUCGUCAAAUAUGGGCAUGGGGGCGAAAGACUAAUCGAACCUUCUAGUAGCUGGUUUCCGCCGAAGUUUCCCUCAGGAUAGCAGUGUUGAGCUCAGUUUUAUGAGGUAAAGCGAAUGAUUAGGGACCCGGGGGCGCUAUAUUGCCUUCAUCCAUUCUCAAACUUUAAAUAUGUAAGAAGCCCUUGUUACUUAGCUGAACGUGGGCAUUCGAAUGUAUCAACACUAGUGGGCCAUUUUUGGUAAGCAGAACUGGCGAUGCGGGAUGAACCGAACGCGAGGUUAAGGUGCCAGAGUAGACGCUCAUCAGACACCACAAAAGGCGUUAGUACAUCUUGACAGCAGGACGGUGGCCAUGGAAGUCGGAAUCCGCUAAGGACUGUGUAACAACUCACCUGCCGAAUGUACUAGCCCUGAAAAUGGAUGGCGCUCAAGCGUCUCACCCAUACCUCGCCCUCGGGGUAGAAACGAUGCCCCGAGGAGUAGGCGGACGUGGAGGUCAGUGACGAAGCCUAGGGCGUGAGCCCGGGUCGAACG